UACGUAGGGUGCGAGCGUUAAUCGGAAUUACUGGGCGUAAAGCGUGCGCAGGCGGUGAUGUAAGACAGGUGUGAAAUCCCCGGGCUUAACCUGGGAACUGCAUUUGUGACUGCAUCGCUGGAGUGCGGCAGAGGGGGAUGGAAUUCCGCGUGUAGCAGUGAAAUGCGUAGAUUUCGAGAAGAACGCUCGCAGCGAAAGCGAAACUCUGGACAGCGUCUGACGCUGAGGCACGAAGGCUAGGGGAGCAAACGGG
rnacentral:rRNA from 1 species